GUUGCCUGUGCUGGACCAUGUACAAGUCUUCUGGAAUGGAGCAUCAUAGAGGGUGAGAAUCCCGUCUUUGACAUGGACUGCCUGUACGUUGUGGUACGCUCUCAAAGAGUCGAGUUGUUUGGGAAUGCAGCUCAAAAUGGGUGGUAAAUGCCAUCUAAAGCUAAAUAUUGGCGAGAGACCGAUAGCGAACAAGUACCGUGAGGGAAAGAUGAAAAGAACUUUGGAAAGAGAGUUAAACAGUACGUGAAAUUGCUGAAAGGGAAACGCUUGAAGUCAGUCGCGUCGGCUAGAAAUCAGCCUUGCUUUUGUGUGGCGUACUUUCUGGUUGACGGGUCAGCAUCAAUUUUGACCAUUGGAUAAAGUCUUUGGGAAUGUGGCAUCCUUUUUGGAUGUGUUAUACCCCAUUGUCGCAUGCGGUGGUUGGGAUUGAGGAACUCAGCACGCCUCGCAGGGGGCCAGGUUUCGACCAUGUUCGUGCUUAGGAUGCUGGCAUAAUGGCUUUAAUCGACCCGUCUUGAAACACGGACCAAGGAGUCUAACAUGCCUGCGAGUGUGUGGGUGGAAAACCCAUGCGCGCAAUGAAAGUGAAAGUUGAGAUCUCUGUAAAAGGAUAGCAUCCACGCCCGGACCAUACCUUCUGUGACGGAUCCGCGGUAUAGCAUGCGUGUUGGGACCCGAGAGAUGGUGAACUAUGCCUGAAUAGGGUGAAGCCAGAGGAAACUCUGGUGGAGGCUCGUAUCGAUUCUGACGUGCAAUCGAUCGUC
rnacentral:rRNA from 1 species